rnacentral:misc_RNA from 1 species
CUUCUGGAAGCUACCUGGUAUUCACAUGAGCAUAAUACAAGAGACAAAAAUAGGAGAUACAACUUUCAUCAGGCACUGCCAGCUUCUGUUGGCGUCGUACAUGGAGCCAGUGUGUUUGGAGGCAGACUGAUUCCACCCCCUCUCACAGAUAUAUUUGAGCCCUUGACAGAACUUGCUCUGCUUACAAGAUUCGAGUCAAGGAACACAACAAUCACAGUGAUAUCAUCAUGGAAAUGCCGUCUGACACCACGGUCAAUCUUCUUCAAGUCCGAAUACCUCAUUUCUCUCUUCUUUGCUGC